rnacentral:rRNA from 1 species
UGAGGAAUAUUGGUCAAUGGACGCAAGUCUGAACCAGCCAUGCCGCGUGCAGGAAGACGGCUCUAUGAGUUGUAAACUGCUUUUGUACGAGGGUAAACGCAGAUACGCG